UGUGAGCUCGAUGAGUAGGGCGGGACACGUGGUAUCCUGUCUGAAUAUGGGGGGACCAUCCUCCAAGGCUAAAUACUCCUGACUGACCGAUAGUGAACCAGUACCGUGAGGGAAAGGCGAAAAGAACCCCGGCGAGGGGAGUGAAAAAGAACCUGAAACCGUGUACGUACAAGCAGUGGGAGCACAGAGCAAUCUGUGUGACUGCGUACCUUUUGUAUAAUGGGUCAGCGACUUAUAUUCUGUAGCAAGGUUAACCGAAUAGGGGAGCCGAAGGGAAACCGAGUCUUAACUGGGCGUUAAGUUGCAGGGUAUAGACCCGAAACCCGGUGAUCUAGCCAUGGGCAGGUUGAAGGUUGGGUAACACUAACUGGAGGACCGAACCGACUAAUGUUGAAAAAUUAGCGGAUGACUUGUGGCUGGGGGUGAAAGGCCAAUCAAACCGGGAGAUAGCUGGUUCUCCCCGAAAGCUAUUUAGGUAGCGCCUCGUGAAUUCAUCUCCGGGGGUAGAGCACUGUUUCGGCAAGGGGGUCAUCCCGACUUACCAACCCGAUGCAAACUGCGAAUACCGGAGAAUGUUAUCACGGGAGACACACGGCGGGUGCUAACGUCCGUCGUGAAGAGGGAAACAACCCAGACCGCCAGCUAAGGUCCCAAAGUCAUGGUUAAGUGGGAAACGAUGUGGGAAGGCCCAGACAGCCAGGAUGUUGGCUUAGAAGCAGCCAUCAUUUAAAGAAAGCGUAAUAGCUCACUGGUCGAGUCGGCCUGCGCGGAAGAUGUAACGGGGCUAAACCAUGCACCGAAGCUGCGGCAGCGACGCUGAUGCGUUGUUGGGUAGGGGAGCGUUCUGUAAGCCUGUGAAGGUGUGCUGUGAGGCAUGCUGGAGGUAUCAGAAGUGCGAAUGCUGACAUAAGUAACGAUAAAGCGGGUGAAAAGCCCGCUCGCCGGAAGACCAAGGGUUCCUGUCCAACGUUAAUCGGGGCAGGGUGAGUCGACCCCUAAGGCGAGGCCGAAAGGCGUAGUCGAUGGGAAACAGGUUAAUAUUCCUGUACUUGGUGUUACUGCGAAGGGGGGACGGAGAAGGCUAUGUUGGCCGGGCGACGGUUGUCCCGGUUUAAGCGUGUAGGCUGGUUUUCCAGGCAAAUCCGGAAAAUCAAGGCUGAGGCGUGAUGACGAGGCACUACGGUGCUGAAGCAACAAAUGCCCUGCUUCCAGGAAAAGCCUCUAAGCAUCAGGUAACAUCAAAUCGUACCCCAAACCGACACAGGUGGUCAGGUAGAGAAUACCAAGGCGCUUGAGAGAACUCGGGUGAAGGAACUAGGCAAAAUGGUGCCGUAACUUCGGGAGAAGGCACGCUGAUAUGUAGGUGAAGCGACUUGCUCGUGGAGCUGAAAUCAGUCGAAGAUACCAGCUGGCUGCAACUGUUUAUUAAAAACACAGCACUGUGCAAACACGAAAGUGGACGUAUACGGUGUGACGCCUGCCCGGUGCCGGAAGGUUAAUUGAUGGGGUCAGCGCAAGCGAAGCUCUUGAUCGAAGCCCCGGUAAACGGCGGCCGUAACUAUAACGGUCCUAAGGUAGCGAAAUUCCUUGUCGGGUAAGUUCCGACCUGCACGAAUGGCGUAAUGAUGGCCAGGCUGUCUCCACCCGAGACUCAGUGAAAUUGAACUCGCUGUGAAGAUGCAGUGUACCCGCGGCAAGACGGAAAGACCCCGUGAACCUUUACUAUAGCUUGACACUGAACAUUGAGCCUUGAUGUGUAGGAUAGGUGGGAGGCUUAGAAGUGUGGACGCCAGUCUGCAUGGAGCCGACCUUGAAAUACCACCCUUUAAUGUUUGAUGUUCUAACGUUGACCCGUAAUCCGGGUUGCGGACAGUGUCUGGUGGGUAGUUUGACUGGGGCGGUCUCCUCCUAAAGAGUAACGGAGGAGCACGAAGGUUGGCUAAUCCUGGUCGGACAUCAGGAGGUUAGUGCAAUGGCAUAAGCCAGCUUGACUGCGAGCGUGACGGCGCGAGCAGGUGCGAAAGCAGGUCAUAGUGAUCCGGUGGUUCUGAAUGGAAGGGCCAUCGCUCAACGGAUAAAAGGUACUCCGGGGAUAACAGGCUGAUACCGCCCAAGAGUUCAUAUCGACGGCGGUGUUUGGCACCUCGAUGUCGGCUCAUCACAUCCUGGGGCUGAAGUAGGUCCCAAGGGUAUGGCUGUUCGCCAUUUAAAGUGGUACGCGAGCUGGGUUUAGAACGUCGUGAGACAGUUCGGUCCCUAUCUGCCGUGGGCGCUGGAGAACUGAGGGGGGCUGCUCCUAGUACGAGAGGACCGGAGUGGACGCAUCACUGGUGUUCGGGUUGUCAUGCCAAUGGCACUGCCCGGUAGCUAAAUGCGGAAGAGAUAAGUGCUGAAAGCAUCUAAGCACGAAACUUGCCCCGAGAUGAGUUCUCCCUGAC
rnacentral:rRNA from 1 species